rnacentral:misc_RNA from 1 species
GAUGAAGAACGUAGCGAAAUGCGAUAAGUAAUGUGAAUUGCAGAAUUCAGUGAAUCAUCGAAUCUUUGAACGCACAUUGCGCCCCUUGGUAUUCCGAGGGGCAUGCCUGUUCGAGCGUCAUUAUAACCCUCAAGCUCAGCUUGGUGUUGGGGCCUGCUGCACUGGCAGCCCUUAAAAUCAGUGGCGGCGCCAUCUGGCUCUAAGCGUAGUAAUUCUUCUCGCUAUGGAGUCCUGGUGGAUGCUUGCCAUCAACCCCCAAUUUUUCUAUGGUUGACCUCGGAUCAGGUAGGGAUACCCGCUGAACUUAAGCAUAUCAAUAAGCGAGGA